AAACAACAGUCGUGUCAAAGUCAAGGAGAGUAGGCCUACUCUGGUGGUAGUUCACAACCAUUAAAAUGAAGUCAGUUUUCAUAAGUGGCGGGUUAUUACUGCUUUGUAUGCUCCUCGAACUUCAUUCGACCGAGGGCUAUGCUGCACCGAAUUUGGAAGUGUUGUCAAACGUUCUGCAAGCCAAACGUACGAAUAGAAACAACAAAAACAACAGAAACAAUAGCCAAAACCCUGCUGUAAACACCCAAAACACUGGUGCAACUCGAAACGGACAAACCAUAACGAUUACAAUAGACGGUCAGAGAACUACAGCAACUAGCAGCCAAGGAACCCAGACAACCAAUAGAAGAAAUAACCAGAGUAGAAGGAAACAAAUACGACUGAAGAUAAAACGACAACGGAAUCAGAACACUCGUACAAAUAAAAGCGAUAGGAGGGUGCAAACGGUUAGAACGGUCACUACUACAACUGCAUGAUUACUAAGCUAGAUAACAUUAUAUGAAUAAAGUGAUUCUGAUUGUCAACUGA